UGGGGAAUAUUGGACAAUGGGCGAAAGCCUGAUCCAGCCAUGCCGCGUGUGUGAAGAAGGUCUUCGGAUUGUAAAGCACUUUAAGUUGGGAGGAAGGGCAGUAAGCGAAUACCUUGCUGUUUUGACGUUACCGACAGAAUAAGCACCGGCUAACUCUGUGCCAGCAGCCGCGGUAAUACAGAGGGUGCAAGCGUUAAUCGGAAUUACUGGGCGUAAAGCGCGCGUAGGUGGUUCGUUAAGUUGAAUGUGAAAGCCCCGGGCUCAACCUGGGAACUGCAUCCAAAACUGGCGAGCUAGAGUAGGGCAGAGGAUGGUAGAAUUCCAGGUGUAGCGGUGAAAUGCGUAGAGAUCUGGAGGAAUACCGAUGGCGAAGGCAGCCAUCUGGCCUAAUACUGACGCUGAGGUACGAAAGCAUGGGGAGCAAACAGG
rnacentral:rRNA from 1 species